AAAUUGAAGAGUUUGAUCAUGGCUCAGAUUGAACGCUGGCGGCAGGCCUAACACAUGCAAGUCGAGCGGAAACGAGUUAUCAGAACCUU
rnacentral:rRNA from 1 species